rnacentral:tRNA from 1 species
AAAAAACUAGUUAAAUAAUUAUAACAAAAGAAUGUCAUUCUUUAAUAACUUAAAAAGUGUUUUUUA